rnacentral:rRNA from 1 species
CCUACGGGUCGCAGCAGUGGGGAAUAUUGCACAAUGGGCGCAAGCCUGAUGCAGUCAUGCCGCGUGUAUGAAGAAGGCCUUAGGGUUGUAAAGUACUUUCAGUUGGGAGGAAGGCGUUGAUGCUAAUAUCAUCAACGAUUGACGUUACCAACAGAAGAAGCACCGGCUAACUCCGUGCCAGCAGCCGCGGUAAUACGGAGGGUGCAAGCGUUAAUCGGAAUUACUGGGCGUAAAGCGCACGCAGGCGGUUGAUUAAGUUAGAUGUGAAAUCCCCGGGCUUAACCUGGGAAUGGCAUCUAAGACUGGUCAGCUAGAGUCUUGUAGAGGGGGGGUAGAGUUCCAUGUGUAGCGGUGAAAUGCGUAGAGAUGUGGAGGAAUACCGGUGGCGAAGGCGGCCCCCUGGACAAAGACUGACGCUCAGGUGCGAAAGCGUGGGGAGCAAACAGGAUUAGAUACCCCCGUAGU